GGGAAUUGAAACAGGAGUGUUUUACCACUGAGCUACAUCUCCAAUUCUUUUUUAUUUUUUAUUUGGAGACAGUGUUUCACUAAAUUGCUUAGGGUGGCCUCAAAUUUGCAAGUGUCCUACCUCAGCUUUUGAGUCUCUGGGAUUACAGGAGUGCACCACCACACCCAGCCCAUCAUCUUCUCUAACCCCUGCUGACUACUUAGUGAAAAAUACCAAGAAAUUUGUUCAUACAUGAAGAAUUUAGGAAGUGAUGUAUCCACCUACAUGGUGCUACUCAGUACAUUGUGAAAUUUUAAGCAUCAGAAGUGACUACCAAAAGGUAUGUAUUUUUAGUAACAUAUCUCAUCUUGAUUUAAAAAAAAGAUAAUUCUUUCAUUUGUUAGAUGAAUGGAUGGACAGAGAAAUAAGUAGAGAGGUUAGGAAGAUGGACAUCGUGUGAUCUGGAAGAAAAAUCACAUGAGUUCUUUGAUGUCAGUUUCCUUACCCACAAAAGUUGAGAUGAUAAUAUGUGCAGAAUUUGAAAAGAGAAAUGAGAAAGGCUCAGCUCAUAGUAGCAGCUAUUCAAUAAACGUUAGGUGAGUUAAAAAAGAGAGGGAUAGAAAAAAAGCUAAAUGGAAUAGAAGCAUUUGGAACACAAGCAGAGAUGUUUUAAAUGGACCAUUAUUGUGAAGAAAUUUUAAAAUGUAGACGGUCAUACAAUAGUAGGUUUUUAUUUUUUGUCUUUUAGGCACAAUGGGAUUUUGG
rnacentral:lncRNA from 1 species